rnacentral:rRNA from 1 species
UACAGAGGGUGCAAGCGUUAAUCGGAAUUACUGGGCGUAAAGAGUGCGUAGGUGGUUAGGUAAGUUAGAUGUGAAAUCCCUGGGCUCAACCUAGGAACUGCGUUUAAAACUGCUUAGCUAGAGUAUUGUAGAGGAUAGUGGAAUUUCCAGUGUAGCGGUGAAAUGCGUAGAUAUUGGAAGGAACACCAGUGGCGAAGGCGACUAUCUGGGCAAAUACUGACACUGAGGCACGAAAGCGAGGGGAGCAAACAGG